CUUAAAGGGACAGGAGCGGCGGGAGGAAGGCGGGGAACUUCAAUUCUCUGUCUCCCCACCAAGGAAAUGAGCGGGUACUGCAACGUGUGAUGAGUAACAUUACUGUGAGCUUAGAUAGAUGCCAAAGCCCACAACUUCACUUCCCUGGGUGAUGAGUUCUGAAUUCCCCCCCAGCCCUGAGGAACUGGGACUUCUUGGACUCCACUUUCUAAGAGCAUUUCACUGUGGAAUGGAUGCCCUCAGAAAGGCAGGGAACAGAAAAGGAAUCUCCACAAACAUCCAUCUGAAGGACACUGAAGACAGGUCUGACACAUUGCACAUGACCCAGAGGUGCAGCUGGACUCGGAACACUCCUGGGGACACGGUGGAAGCUGUAGAAUCAGAGAGACCAAGUGAUCUGCCAUGGCCACCAAGAAGCUCCCAAAAGAUCUGGGAGCAGAAAGAAAAAAAAUCCAUCCCGGGUUUUUGUGCUCAGUCCCGUCCUCAGGGCUCACCUGGAAGGCUGUGGCAGUUGUCUUGUCCCAGCACAGAAAGCCCUGCGGGGAGAGCGACUCUCACAACUCGACUGAUGGACAAGGAACAACAAGCGGAUCCCAGCGUUUUCCAGCGUGCAGUACCGCGUGUCCCCAGCGCUCGUCCUCAGUGCGCGUCCAAAGCCACCGGCCUGACACUCAGCUGCGUCCAUCCCGCUCCAGGAUCCCCCUGAUCCCACCCCAGGGAUCCCACUGAUCCCAUCCCACUGAUCCCACCCCACCCAUUCCCCGGAGGGGCACGCUCCAGCUCCCCACUUACAAAUAAACCCAGAGAAAACCA